rnacentral:rRNA from 1 species
CGCAAUGGGCGAAAGCCUGACGGAGCAAUACCGCGUGAGGGAGGAAGGCUCUUGGGUUGUAAACCUCUUUUCUCAGGGAAGAAGAUAUGACGGUACUUGAGGAAUCAGCCUCGGCUAACUCCGUGCCAGCAGCCGCGGUAAUACGGAGGAUGCAAGCGUUAUCCGGAAUGAUUGGGCGUAAAGGGUCCGCAGGUGGUAGUGUAAGUCUGCUGUUAAAGAAUCACGCUCAACGUGAUCAAAGCAGUGGAAACUACACAACUAGAGUACGGUAGGGGCAGAAGGAAUUCCUGGUGUAGCGGUGAAAUGCGUAGAUAUCAGGAAGAACACCGGUGGCGAAAGCGUUCUUCUAGACCCGUACUGACACUGAGGGACGAAAGCUA